CUUCAGGCACAGGGAGCAUCUUUAGGCACGUGGCGCACCUUCAACCAUGGGGCUUGUCAUCAGGCACUGGGAGCACCUUUAGGUACAGCGAGCAGCUUCAGGCACAGGGCUCACUUAAGGCACGGCGGGGGGCGGUGGGGGUGGGGUGGGGGGAGUCUGUGCUCUACAGGCAUGGGGCGCCCUCUGGCGAGGGGUGCGCUGUCAGGCAUGGUAUGCGCCUUCAGGGAGUGCCUGUGCCCUUCAUUCAAGGGGAGCGCCUUCAGGCAUGGAACAUGCCUUCAGGCACAGGGUGUGCCUUCAGGCACUGGGCGAGGCAUUAUGCAUGGGGCGCUGCUUCAGUCAAGGGGCUUGCUUUCAGGCAGUGGGCUUGCCUACAGGCAUGUGGAGCUCUAUCAGUCAUGGGUCGUGGUUCAGGAACAGGGAGUGGCCUCAGGCACAGGGAGCAUCUUCAGGCAAGGGGUGCACCUUCAGCCAUGGGGCUUGUCUUCAGGCACUGGGAGCGCCUUCAGGCACAGGGAGCAGCUUCAUGCAAGGGGCGCGCCUUCAGGCAAGGGGAGCAUCUGUGCUCUUCAGGCAUGGGGCACGCAGUCAGGCAUAGGGAGUGGCUUCAGGCAUGGUGCAUGGCUUCAGGCAUGGGGCGCGGCUUCAGGCAAGAGGAGGUCCUGUGCCAUUCAGGCAAGGGGAGGGCCUGUGACUUUCAGGCACAGAAUGCCCCAUCCUGCACAGGGAGCUCAGUCAGACUCAGGGCAUGCCUUCAGGCAUGGGGUAUGCCUUUAGAGAGUGCUGGUGCCUUUCAGGCAAGGGGAGUGCCUUCAGACAAGGGGAGUGCCUUCAGGCAUUGGAGGCUCUGUCCUGUGAGCACAGAGCCUGGGGUUUCUGUGCUGGGAGUACAGAGCCUGGAGGGGCUUCUUGGGAUUCUUUGUCUCCCUCUCACUCUGUCCUUCCCCUGGAGUGUCUUCAGGCACUGGGAGUGCCAAUUUCAGGCACUGGGAGUGAUGACUGCAGUCCCUGUGAGUGGAGACUCCAGUCACUGGGAGUAACUGCAGACACUGAGAGUGACUUUGACUUCAGUCUCUGGGAGUGACUAUGACAUCAGUCACUGGGAAUGACUUUGACUUCAGUCACUGGGAGUGACUUCAGGAGUGACUUCAGUCUCUGGGAGUGACUUCAGGAGUGACUUCAGGAGUGACUUCAGUCACUGGAGUGACUUUGGGCGUGACUUCUGUCACUGGGAGUGACAUCUGGAGUGACUUCCGUCACUGGCAGUCACUUCGGGAGUGACUUUCAUCACUGGGAGUGACUUCGAGAGGGACUUCCCUCACUGGGAGUGACUUUGGGCAUGACUUCUGUCACUGGGAGUGACUUUGGGAGUGACUUCAGUCACUGGGAGUGACUUCGGGAGUGACUUCAGUCACUGGGAGUGACUUCGAGAGGGACUUCCCUCACUGGGAGUGACUUCUGGCGUGACUUCUGUCACUGGGAGUGAUAUCUGGAGUGACUUCCGUCACUGACAGUCACUUCGGGAUUGACUUUCAUCACUGGGAGUGACUUCGGGAGAGACUUCUAUCACUGGGAGUGACUUUGGGAUGACUUCCUUCACUGGGAGUGACUUUGUCUUCAGUCACUGGGAGUGACUUUGACUUCAUUCCCUGGGAGUGACUUUGGGAGUGACUUCAUUCACUGGGCAUGACUUCAGGAGUGACUUCAGACAUUGGGAGUGACUGACUUCAGUCACUGGGUAUGCCCUCAGGCACUGGGCAUGCCUAACCCUUCAGGCAAGGGGCGAGCCUUCAGGCAUGGGGCGAGCCUUCAGGCAGGGGGAGCCUUCAGGCAAGGGGCGAGCCUGCAGGCAUUGGACCUGCCUUCAGGCAUGGGACAUGGCUUCAUGCUCGGGGCAUGGCUUUAGACAAGGGGCUUGCCUUCAGGUAAGGGGCUUUUCUUUAGGCAUGGGGCAUGCCUUCAGGCACAGGGAGUGGCUUCAGAAAAGGGGCUUGCCUUCAGGCACGGAGCUUGUCUUCAGGCAUGGGAGCGCCUUCAGGU
rnacentral:lncRNA from 1 species